UACGUAGGGGGCAAGCGUUGUCCGGAAUCAUUGGGCGUAAAGAGCGUGUAGGCGGUCCGGUUAGGCGGCUGUGAAAGUCCAGGGCUCAACCCUUGAAUGCCGGUCGAUACUGCCGGACUAGAGUCCGGAAGAGGCAAGUGGAAUUCCCGGUGUAGCGGUGAAAUGCGCAGAUAUCGGGAGGAACACCAAUGGCGAAGGCAGCUUGCUGGGCCGGUACUGACGCUGAGACGCGAAAGCGUGGGGAGCAAACAGG
rnacentral:rRNA from 1 species